UACGGAGGGGGCGAGCGUUAUUCGGAAUUAUUGGGCGUAAAGGGCGCGUAGGCGGCUUGAUGUGUCAAAGGUGAAAUCCCUCGGCUCAACUGAGGAACUGCCUUUGAAACUGUCUGGCUUGAGGCCGGGAGAGGGAAGCGGAAUUCCCGGUGUAGUGGUGAAAUGCGUAGAUAUCGGGAGGAACACCAGUGGCGAAGGCGGCUUCCUGGCCUGUUCUUGACGCUGAGGCGCGAAAGCUAGGGUAGCAAACGGG
rnacentral:rRNA from 1 species